rnacentral:rRNA from 1 species
ACCUACGGGGGGCAGCAGUGGGGAAUCCUGCGCAAUGGGCGAAAGCCUGACGCAGCCAUGCCGCGUGGAUGAUGAAGGUCUUAGGAUUGUAAAAUCCUUUCACCGGUGAAGAUAAUGACUGUAGCCGGAGAAGAAGCCCCGGCUAACUUCGUGCCAGCAGCCGCGGUAAUACGAAGGGGGCUAGCGUUGCUCGGAAUUACUGGGCGUAAAGGGAGCGUAGGCGGACAUUUAAGUCAGGGGUGAAAUCCCGGAGCUCAACGUCGGAACUGCCUUUGAUACUGGGUGUCUUGAGUGUGAGAGAGGUAUGUGGAACUCCGAGUGUAGAGGUGAAAUUCGUAGAUAUUCGGAAGAACACCAGUGGCGAAGGCGACAUACUGGCUCAUUACUGACGCUGAGGCUCGAAAGCGUGGGGAGCAAACAGGAUUAGAUACCCUUGUAGUCAA